UUCAGGUCAUGCAACGAGGACUGGUGUCUAGUUUAAUUAAACAGCUUUAUAAAUGACAAGACGGCUGUGGUAUGCUGAAGCUCUGGGACCUGCUAUGCAAGACUCACCAGACGCUGGUCCCCUUUUAAGGACUCCACGGGCAGAGCAGAGUAAAAACAAAGCCAAGAUUUCAAAGCACUGGGACUUAAGAUCAGACCGCUGGAAUAAAUCUACAUUGCUGAAUAGACACCUUGAAGUGGAAAAAAAAAACCACAAUUCAGACACUGGAAAAAGAAAACAGUCGCUUCUAAACCUCAGAAUCUGUAACAACUCAAGUAGUCCAAUACUGCCUUGGGUAAAUAAAGGACGGUCUGUUUAAAAUGUUCAGGC